AUUGGUGGCAAUAGCGAGGAUGGUCCACCUGUACCCAUACCGAACACAGAAGUUAAGCUCCUUAGCGCCUAUGAUACUUGGCUGGCAACGGCCUGGGAAAGCGGGACGCCGCCAAUA
rnacentral:rRNA from 1 species